AGAGUGAUGCCUGUGAUUGCAGCAUCCAGAAAAGCAAUUAUCAGAUGCAGUGAAAUUACAGGGAGAAGUGGAGAAGCUCUGACCUCAGUGCUCAACUCAGAAACCUCCAGUCUGAGAGAACUGCAUCUGACUGUCAAUACACUGAAUCUGUCU